rnacentral:rRNA from 1 species
GAUGAACGCUAGCGGCAGGCCUAACACAUCAAGUCGAGGGAGAAGCCCUUCGGGGCAGAAACCGGCGCACGGGUGCGUAACGCGUAUGCAACCUACCUUUCACAGGGGGAUAGCCCGAAGAAAUUUGGAUUAAUACCCCAUAAUAUUAUUGGAUGGCAUCAUUUGAUAAUUAAAAUUACGAUGGUGAAAGAUGGGCAUGCGUCCUAUUAGCUAGUUGGAGUGGUAACGGCACCCCAAGGCUACGAUAGGUAGGGGUCCUGAGAGGGAGAUCCCCCACACUGGUACUGAGACAGGGACCAGACUCCUACGGGAGGCAGCAGUGAGGAAUAUUGGUCAAUGGUCGGAAGACUGAACCAGCCAUGCCGCGUGCAGGAAGAAUGCCUUAUGGGUUGUAAACUGCUUUUAUAUGGGAAGAAUAAGGAAGCACGUG